CAGUCGCCGCGGUAAUACAGAGGGUGCGAGCGUUAAUCGGAUUUGCUGGGCGUAAAGCGUGCGUAGGCGGCUUUUUAAGUCGGAUGUGAAAUCCCUGAGCUUAACUUAGGAAUUGCAUUCGAUACUGGGAAGCUAGAGUAUGGGAGAGGAUGGUAGAAUUCCAGGUGUAGCGGUGAAAUGCGUAGAGAUCUGGAGGAAUACCGAUGGCGAAGGCAGCCAUCUGGCCUAAUACUGACGCUGAGGUACGAAAGCAUGGGGAGCAAACAGGAUUAGAUACCCCAGUAGUCCCUGUCUCUUUACA
rnacentral:rRNA from 1 species